UACGUAGGUGACAAGCGUUAUCCGGAAUUACUGGGCGUAAAGCGCACGCAGGCGGCGCAUUAAGUCUGACGUGAAAUCUCCUGGCUUAACUAGGAGGGGUCGUUGGAAACUGAUGUGCUUGAGGCGAUGAGAGGGGUGUAGAAUUCCCGGUGUAGUGGUGGAAUGCGUAGAUAUCGGGAGGAAUACCAGUGGCGAAAGCGGCACCCUGGCAUUAGCCUGACGCUCAUGUGCGAAGGCGUGGGGAGCGAACGGG
rnacentral:rRNA from 1 species